UACGUAGGGUGCGAGCGUUAAUCGGAAUUACUGGGCGUAAAGCGUGCGCAGGCGGUUCGUUGUGUCGGCGGUGAAAGCCCCGGGCUCAACCUGGGAAUGGCCGUUGAAACUGGCGAACUGGAGUGUGGCAGAGGGGGGGUGGAAUUCCGCGUGUAGCAGUGAAAUGCGUAGAGAUGCGGAGGAACACCGAUGGCGAAGGCAGCCCCCCUGGGCUAACACUGACGCUCAGGCACGAAAGCGUGGGGGAGCAAACAGG
rnacentral:rRNA from 1 species